rnacentral:lncRNA from 1 species
UAUUGUAAACAAGGACAUUUUUGCUGCACUCCAGUUGAACUACUGUGUAUAUUUCAUGGAAACUAAAUUAAUAGGAAAGAUUUAUUUAUAUGUAUUAGUACUAUCUUAAAACAGUAAUUCAGAGGGCUCAUAAUUAAAUUGAAAAUCUGAAAGUAGACUGCAUAAACAUUUCCCAGUUUACAAUAUAAAAACUGGAAUUGAUUUUCUGAAACAAAUGUGAAAUAAUAUUAAAAAUAUGUAUUUAUUCUGAGACAAUCUUUCUUUGAGGAAAUUGAAAGCCAAUACCCUUUAAUCUCAUAUUGAAGUUUAUACAACAUAUGCUUAUUAUACAACCUUAUUCUGUCUUAAAAGUACAAGCAAACUAUCUUAAACUGAAGUUUUUAAAGGAAACUAAAAGUUACUGGAAAAUGAUACAGUUUAUGUCCAGAUGUGCUAAAUAUAUUUUUGUUGUUGAAGUAUUUUCAUAUUUUUUUGUAUAAAAUACCCCAUUAUAUAAAACUCUAAUUCCUAUUGGAUAAUAUUGUGAGUAGUGUACACCAAUAUAUUUUCACUGGAACAAUAACUUAUUUUCAUUUUGCUGUACAAACAAUAAAAUCAGUGUAAGAACAUCAGUAGGCAUUAAUGUAAGUUCUUAUGACCACUGUACUAUUUUAGACAAAUAUUUGGUGUGGGCUUCCAAAAAGAGACGUACAAGAAUAGAGUUAUAGAUUUUGUUAUUCAAUUGUAAAAUGAAUUGGUGCAAAAGGUGGGUAUGAAUCCGACGGUGAAUAAUGUUUAUUUUUUUAUAGUAUUUGGAAAAACAGUUUUUAUAGCCAAAAUAUUUAUAUUAACAUACAAUUUAUUUAUAUGAUAACAGAAAAUAAAAGUAUAUCAAUUAAUCUAGGCCAAGCAAAUACAGAAUUUGGAUUUACUUACUAAAAAUAUUUUUAUUUAAGAAUUAUUAAAUUUUAUUUUCAAAUAAGACAGGUUCAUUAACAGUUUGAUAUGAUAAAAACUGUAUUUCUACUAUGGUAUGAUAAAAACUAUUUCUACUAUGGUAUGAUAAAAACUGUAUUUCUACUAUGGUAUGAUAAAAACUAUUUCUACUAUGAUAAAAACCAUUUCUACUAUGGUAUGAUAAAAACUGUAUUUCUACUAUGGUAUGAUAAAAAGAUAAAAACUAUUUCUACUAUGGUAUGAUAAAAACUAUUUCUACUAUGGUAUGAUAAAAACUGUAUUUCUAUUAUGGUAUGAUAAAAACUAUAUUUAUAGUAUGAUAAUCAUGAACAAGUUAUAGAAGAAAACACAACAUAAUCUAGUCUAUGUACAAAUAGUGUAUUAUAAGAAUCUCUU